UACGGAGGAUCCGAGCGUUAUCCGGAUUCAUUGGGUUUAAAGGGUGCGCAGGCGGGAGAUUAAGUCGGCGGUGAAAUUUUGCAGCUCAACUGUAAAAGUGCCUUCGAAACUGGUUUCCUUGAGUGUAGAUGAAGUAGGCGGAAUUUGUGGUGUAGCGGUGAAAUGCAUAGAUAUCACGAGGAACUCCGAUUGCGCAGGCAGCUUACUAAACUACUACUGACGCUCAGGCACGAAGGCGUGGGGAUCAAACAGGAUUAGAUACCCGU
rnacentral:rRNA from 1 species